rnacentral:lncRNA from 1 species
CACAGCCAUCAAUCAUUCAUGGAUGGACAAAUUCGCCCAGGGCAGUGAAUGCAAAACAGAAUCAAGUUAUAUUUUGAACUGUGGGUUUCUAGGCUGGGGAAGGUGUACUGUAUGUUACCAAGAGGAAAGACCCAGCUUGAAAACAGAGCCAGCAAAGGGAAAGUACCCCUGAGAGACAGAGAGAGACAAUUUCUGGAGCCCUUCAUCCAAUCAUUUUUCAAGCCCAACAAUUCUACCUCUGUUGUCUUCAUGAAAAUGAAGAAAGACCAUCCAGAUGUGAAUACGGCCAUCCCUCAACACAGCCAGUAGUUUUGCUGUAGACCUCAUUAUUUGGUUCUUGAGAUCAGAUUGUCUCAUCCUUCUACAACCAAAGAAGAGUAUAAUGUUUGACAGUAUAUUGGUUUAAUGAAUACUUACUAAUACAAACAAAUCUAGUAUAAUUGGCAUAAUGGAAAUGAUUAUGUAGUCAUAAGUACGCAGUAAGAUUAUAAUUCUUGAGUUGAGUUUUAUGUACCAG